ACCGGAUCCCGUACGAUCAUCAUAAUUAAGCAAAGUCGAGCCUGGUCAAUACCUAGAUGGGUGACUGCUUAGGAAUACCACGUGCUGUAG